GUUUGUAAGUUGCUCAUUUAAUUUUAAAUAGAGUAUUCAAAUUAGUUAAAAGUAAUUAAAAUAUAUUAAAAAGGUAAAAUUGGUAUAUUAAUUUGAUUUCGUUUCUGAUAACUAUCUGAACCAAACACCGACAAUGGGAAUGAUUCAUUUCAAUUCCGAUUCAGGUGGCGAACCAAACACACCCUUAGUUUAGUUUUCUGUGUUAGAUGGGGAUGUUCAUUCG
rnacentral:lncRNA from 1 species